GGAAAGUUUUACACUGCUCUACCAUCGUGUUUCUGUUUGUAAAGCUGUGUAACUCGGGUCACUCAGACAAAUCGUAUUCAGAAAUAAGAUCUAGAAAACGCACGCCUUUUCUAUCAUGCCCGAACACAAAUCCUCACUGAUGUCCAUGUGGUUACUAUUAGGAAAAUUUGACUUAAAUCCAGAUAUGACACAACAGUCUUCAAACAGGAAUGGAGAUAUUUUGAGUGUAUAGAAGAAAACAGGAUUAUGCUGAGAACUACUCACCGUAAAUCUUCGCCUGGCUGUUAAAUACAGGUACAUUAAUGAAGACGACUAGACAUGACUAAUACAAACAGAUAAGCAAAUCACCGGCGAGGUAGAUUUUCUCUCCAGGCAAUAUCAAGUAUCAAGUAUCGACUCAACAAUAUUUCCUUGGAGCAAGUGUCAUCUUGCGUUUAGCCAAUCUUAAAGAAUCGUGUGACGUCACAGGAGGGUGGAACUAUCUUAAGAUGAUGUAAGAAACUUGUGAUUCGCUGUGACAAUGCUAAUUACACUAGAAGUAAGGAGGUGAUUGUAGGUAAAACUCAGAAUCACACACUGAAGGAGAAAGCAAGUGAACUCCAUGUAUGCAUUGUACAUCUACAUUUCUAUAACCAUUUCUUCUCUCACAAAAAAGAGAUCUAAACUACCUGCAAUUUUUUACCUUGGUUACUAUUUUGUUUCUCACAGAAAAGACAAAUAAUUCACCUGUACAAGUCAACAAACUUACCUGUACAAGUCCACAAACUUACCUGGACAAAACGACUAACUUACUAGGACAAGACAACUAACUUACCUGGACAAGACGACUAACUUACCUGUACAAGAUGAGUAACUUACCUGUACAAGACGUACAAGAUGACUAACUUACCUGUACAAGAUGACUAACUUACCUGUACAAGAUGCAACUUUUGAGGGAAUGUUACAAAUAAAACAGUAUUCAGAGUGCAAAUGGCAAGGCCAAAAUAGAGCAACUGAUAUAAAUCUGAAUAGCCAGGACAUAUUUUAUAGAUACUGAUUUUGGAGGGUUAGCCUACAGAACACAUCCUUGUCCGUGAUAAACAUGAAGAAAUAUUGCACAUCACUGUAAUUUUAAUAUGGCUAACACAUGUACAUUAAAGUAGGCUUACAUUUAUAAAUGUUCUUAUUUUACUUUAACAUGCGCCUCUGAAUGUCUGUGGUAACAGUCUGUGGCACGUGUUCUUAAAAUAUAUAACACACUUUUCAAAAUGUUUCAAAGUUAUAAUCAUUGCAUAAAAAUGAUUAAAAAAGAAACAUGUUACGCUUUAAUGAAAUACUCGAAAUAAAGCGGAGUAUGUACAAUGACAAUGUACAAGCGGUCGCGCGGUUGGAUCCGCCCACUUAGUUAGGUUUACAAGCUAUACAGGACUCAGGAGGCCUAAAUAUAUAUUCUCUCGUUGUGGGUAGAAUAUUACAAGCCGCAGCGUUGUGCAAAUUUGAAAUUAUAUAAAACUGGCCAAUUCUAGUACUUACUU